CUAUAGCUCCGAUUGGACCCCUAGCCUGGGAACCUCCAUAUGCUGCAGGUGCAGCCCUAAAAAGACAACAACAACAACAAAUCAACAUACCAUGUGACUGAGCAACCCCAUUCCCAAGUUUUCACCCAGGGGAAUGAAAUCAUACAUGCACACGAAUAGUCACAGCAACCUUAUUCACGAAACCCGACCAGAAGAGAGACAUGCUGAGAGGAAGCAAAGAUCAAGAAUCCUGGCAUCCAAUCAGAUACAGGAAUUAACGCAACAGCCGUCCAAUCAGAUGAGCGGAUCCAACCAAAUAGAGCAGCGUGAGGCGCGAUAAAAGGCGGGAAAGAGCCUGAGGCGAAGCGUGAGCACUCUUCACAGUAGCCAAGACAUGGG